UCCAGCACACAAAUAUUACUGUUGUCCCUGGAAACUGCAGUGCUAAUUCCCUGCGCAGUUCACAUAAAAUGUAUCUCCCAGUGUCCAGUUUGGUUUUAUCUGAUGAAGUGAAGCAGAGAAAAUAGACUAUGCUGCUAUAUGGAGAAUGGGAGUUUGGGAACAAGCAUGAAAGCAGAGAGAUCUGAAGAAUAACAUCAAACUUAAAUUAGCACAGGUUCUUCAUCUGUAGAAUGGAGCCAGUAACCUGAGUCAUAGA